rnacentral:rRNA from 1 species
UACGUAGGGUGCGAGCGUUAAUCGGAAUUACUGGGCGUAAAGCGUGCGCAGGCGGUUCGCCAAGUCAGGUGUGAAAUCCCCGGGCUUAACCUGGGAAUUGCGCUUGAAACUAGCGGGCUUGAGUGUGGCAGAGGGGGGUGGAAUUCCACGUGUAGCAGUGAAAUGCGUAGAUAUCAGGAGGAACGCCGGAGGCGAAAGCGAGUGACUGGCGCGUUCCUGACGCUGAGGUGCGAAAGCUAGGGGAGCAAACAGG